rnacentral:rRNA from 1 species
GACAGAGGAUGCAAGCGUUAUCCGGAAUGAUUGGGCGUAAAGCGUGCGCAGGCGGUUUUGUAAGACUGUCGUGAAAUCCCCGGGCUUAACCUGGGAAUGGCGAUGGUGACUGCAAGGCUAGAGUUUGGCAGAGGGGGGUAGAAUUCCACGUGUAGCAGUGAAAUGCGUAGAUAUGUGGAGGAACACCGAUGGCGAAGGCAGCCCCCUGGGUCAAAACUGACGCUCAUGCACGAAAGCGUGGGGAGCAAACAGG